rnacentral:rRNA from 1 species
AUCCUGGCUCAGAAUCAACGCUGGCGGCGCGCCUAACACAUGCAAGUCGAACGAGAACGGCUUCAGCAAUGGGGCCUAGUAAAGUGGCGUACGGGUGAGUAACACGUGGAUCAUCUACCCUCCUGUGGGGGAUAACCCGGGGAAACCUGGGCUAAUACCGCAUAAUAUCCGCAAGGAUCAAAGGAGCAAUUCGCUGGAGGAUGAGUCCGCGGCUGAUUAGCUAGUUGGCGGGGUAAAGGCCCACCAAGGCUCUGAUCGGUAGCCGGUCUGAGAGGACGCACGGCCACACUGGAACUGAAACACGGUCCAGACUCCUACGGGAGGCA